rnacentral:rRNA from 1 species
AUUCUGUUAUAAGGGAAGAAGGAUAUAAUUAGGGAAUGAGUUAUAUUUGACCGUACCUUAUGAGAAAGCCACGGCUAACUACGUGCCAGCAGCCGCGGUAAUACGUAGGUGGCAAGCGUUAUCCGGAAUUAUUGGGCGUAAAGAGAGAGCAGGCGGUUAUCUAAGUCUGAAGUGAAAAGCAGUGGCUUAACCAUUGUAGGCUUUGGAAACUGGGUAACUAGAGUUCGGGAGAGGUUAGCGGAACUCCAUGUGUAGCGGUGAAAUGCGUAGAUAUAUGGAAGAACACCAGUGGCGAAGGCGGCUAACUAGCCCGAGACUGACGCUCAUUCUCGAAAGCGUGGGUAGCAAAUAGGAUUAGAUACCCUAGUAGUCCACGCCGUAAACGAUGAGUACUAGGUGUUGGGGAAACUCAGCGCCGAAGUUAACACAAUAAGUACUCCGCCUGGGUAGUACGUUCGCAAGAAUGAAACUUAAAGGAAUUGACGGGGGCCCGCACAAGCAGUGGAGCAUGUGGUUUAAUUCGACGCUACGCGAAGAACCUUACCAGGACUUGACAUCUGAUUAAAGGCUCUAGAGAUAGAGAGAUAGUUAUAGUCAAGACAGGUGGUGCAUGGUUGUCGUCAGCUCGUGUCGUGAGAUGUUGGGUUAAGUCCCGCAACGAGCGCAACCCUCGUCCUUAGUUACCAUCAGGUUAAGUUGGGGACUCUAAGGAGACCGCCGGUAUAAGCCGGAGGAAGAUGGGGAUGACGUCAAAUCAUCAUGCCCUUUAUGUCCUGGGCGACACACGUGCUACAAUGGCCGGUACAAAGAGAGGCAAGACCGUGAGGUGGAGCAAAUCUUAGAAAGCCGGUCUCAGUUCGGAUUGGAGUCUGCAACUCGACUCCAUGAAGUUGGAAUUGCUAGUAAUCGCGAAUCAGCCAUGUCGCGGUGAAUACGUUCCCGGGCCUUGUACACACCGCCCGUCAAACCAUGAGAGCUGGUUUUACUCGAAGUCGUUAUUCUAACCGUAAGGGGGAAGGCGCCUAAGGUAGGACUGGUGAUUGGGGUUAAGUCGUAACAAGGUAUCCCUACGGGAACGUGGGGAUG